AGUCGAACGCGAAAGUCCCCUUCGGGGGAUAAGUAGAGUGGCGCACGGGUGAGUAACACGUAGGUAAUCUACCUUCGGGUGGGGAAUAACCCAGGGAAACUUGGGCUAACACCGCAUAAUGCAGCGGCACCACAUGGUGACAGUUGUUAAAGCGGGGGAUUUUAGGACCUCGCGCCUGAAGAGGAGCCUGCGGCAGAUUAGCUUGUUGGUAAGGUAACGGCUUACCAAGGCGACGAUCUGUAGCCGGCCUGAGAGGGCGGUCGGCCACACUGACACUGACAUACGGGUCAGACUCCUACGGGAGGCAGCAGUCGGGAAUUUUGGGCAAUGGGCGAAAGCCUGACCCAGCAACGCCGCGUGAAGGAUGAAAUCCCUCGGGAUGUAAACUUCGCAAGAAUGGGAAGAAUUAGUAGGGGUUAAUACCCCCUAUGAUGACGGUACCAUUUGUAAGCUCCGGCUAACUCCGUGCCAGCAGCCGCGGUAAUACGGGGGGAGCAAGCGUUGUUCGGAUUUACUGGGCGUAAAGGGCGCGUAGGCGGCCAGCACAAGUCGGUUGUGAAAUCUCCGGGCUUAACUCGGAAAGGUCAACCGAUACUGUGCGGCUAGAGUGCGGAAGGGGCAACUGGAAUUCUCGGUGUAGCGGUGAAAUGCGUAGAUUUCGAGAGGAACACCUGCGGCGAAGGCGGGUUGCUGGGCCGACACUGACGCUGAUGCGCGAAAGCCAGGGGAGCGAACGGGAUUAGAUACCCCGGUAGUCCUGGCCUUAAACGAUGGAUGCUUGGUGUCUGGAGUUUUAUAGUCUCCGGGUGCCGUAGCUAACGCGUUAAGCA
rnacentral:rRNA from 1 species